CAGCCGCCGCGGUAAUACGAGGGGAGCUAGCGUUGUUCGGAAUUACUGGGCGUAAAGCGCGCGUAGGCGGCUUUUUAAGUCAGAGGUGAAAGCCCGGGGCUCAACCCCGGAAUUGCCUUUGAAACUGGAAAGCUGGAAUCUUGGAGAGGUCAGUGGAAUUCCGAGUGUAGAGGUGAAAUUCGUAGAUAUUCGGAAGAACACCAGUGGCGAAGGCGGCUUACUGGCUCAUACUGGACGCUGAGGUGCGAAAGCGUGGGGAGCAAACAGGAUUAGAUACCCGCGUAGUCCCUGUCUCUUAUAC
rnacentral:rRNA from 1 species